rnacentral:lncRNA from 1 species
AACUUUUUUUUUAUCAAAUUUUCCCUGAACUUAACCAACUGAUCAAUUUUGCCAUGGUUUUGAGAAAACCCCAAAUAGAGUGCUGACAUGGCACUCUUUAAGUUAUCUCAAAAUUGACGUGGCAUCGCCGGCGGGAACAAGAGACGACGACGUUUAAUAACACCUAAAACUACGUUUUAUUCACCAGAGCUAAAUAAACUCGACA